ACGUAGGGAGCGAGCGUUAUCCGGAUUCAUUGGGCGUAAAGAGCGCGUAGGCGGCCUUUCAAGCGGGAUCUCUAAUCCGAGGGCUCAACCCCCGGCCGGAUCCCGAACUGGGAGGCUCGAGUUCGGUAGAGGCAGGCGGAAUUCCCGGUGUAGCGGUGGAAUGCGCAGAUAUCGGGAAGAACACCGAUGGCGAAGGCAGCCUGCUGGGCCGCAACUGACGCUGAGGCGCGAAAGCUAGGGGAGCGAACAG
rnacentral:rRNA from 1 species